rnacentral:rRNA from 1 species
AACGCGAAGAACCUUACCAAGGCUUGACAUGCAUUAGAUCGCGUCAGAGAUGGCGCUUCCCUUCGGGGCUGGUGUACAGGUGGUGCAUGGUUGUCGUCAGCUCGUGUCGUGAGAUGUUGGGUUAAGUCCCGCAACGAGCGCAACCCUCGUUCUAUGUUGCCAGCGGUUCGGCCGGGGACUCAUAGGAGACUGCCGGGGUCAACUCGGAGGAAGGUGGGGAUGACGUCAAAUCAUCAUGCCCCUUAUGUCUUGGGCUUCACGCAUGCUACAAUGGCCGGUACAGAGGGUUGCGAUACUGUGAGGUGGAGCUAAUCCCUUAAAGCCGGUCUCAGUUCGGAUUGGGGUCUACAACUCGACCCCAUGAAGUCGGAGUCGCUAGUAAUCGCAGAUCAGCA